GUUAGAUAAUAUAAAGUCCCACAACAAUACUGCAGAAGAAAGACCUCUCUUUUAUUCCACCAUCUUCUCCAUUAGGAUCAAUGGCUGUGAUAUACACUCUUUCAGCACCUAUUCUACUCUCCAAAUCAUCUUUUACUAAAAGGACAAUGGUGUAAGCAAGUAGUCACAAUAUCUCAAUCAAUACCUCCACAAUUACAACAACUACUACUGCUAUUACUAUUACUACUACUAGUCCUCUUCAGAUCAUAUCAACUUCCAAUAACAAGCUUGGGGUAUUUGAGGAUAAGUCGACGGGUGUAGUUUGUUAUAGGGAUGAGAACGGAGAGAUCACAUGCGAAGGAUAUGAUCAUGAGGGCCCUCGUUUCUGCCACCAACAGCCAAACUCUUGUUGUAAAUCAAGGUAUGUAACAAUAUUAGUCUAAUGACUAGUAUUGAUGAAUAUAAGAAUUCAUUUAGCGACUCACCAUAACAUGCGUUGAAGGGAGCCUUGGAGCAACGAUAAAGUUGUCUCUGUAUGACCUAUUUAUAUUGGUCAAAAUCUGACUGCUGUGGUCGACCCAAUCGGGACCACGUCCAAACAGCGGGAUAAGAAAAGACGCCAUGACUUACUCCAAACACGUAUUCACAGAACGACGAAAACGGACGCGGUAUGAAGGGGCUAUGGCCCGAAAACAAAGCGAGUACUCCAUGACUAUAUAUACAGGGAGGGGAUCUUCCUAGAAAGGGGAGCUUCUCUCUCUUCCCUCUCCUCUGUAAUCUCCUUAGUAAAAAGAAAGCAAAACAAUCUUCCAUUGAUUAUGUACAACAGUCAUCUCCACCGAUUGGUGAAAGAAGAAAUGAAAGACUUCAACAA